GUGAAAUUCCGUCGGAAUCUGGGAGGACCAUCUCCUAAGGCUAAAUACUCUCUAGUGACCGAUAGUGAACCAGUACCGUGAGGGAAAGGUGAAAAGCACCCCGGAAGGGGAGUGAAAUAGAACCUGAAACCGUGUGCUUACAAGUAGUCAGAGCCCGUUAAUGGGUGAUGGCGUGCCUUUUGUAGAAUGAACCGGCGAGUUACGAUUUGAUGCAAGGUUAAGCAGUAAAUGUGGAGCCGUAGCGAAAGCGAGUCUGAAUAGGGCGUUUAGUAUUUGGUCGUAGACCCGAAACCAGGUGAUCUACCCUUGGUCAGGUUGAAGUUCAGGUAACACUGAAUGGAGGACCGAACCGACUUACGUUGAAAAGUGAGCGGAUGAACUGAGGGUAGCGGAGAAAUUCCAAUCGAACCUGGAGAUAGCUGGUUCUCUCCGAAAUAGCUUUAGGGCUAGCCUCAAGUGAUGAUUAUUGGAGGUAGAGCACUGUUUGGACGAGGGGCCCCUCUCGGGUUACCGAAUUCAGACAAACUCCGAAUGCCAAUUAAUUUAACUUGGGAGUCAGAACAUGGGUGAUAAGGUCCGUGUUCGAAAGGGAAACAGCCCAGACCACCAGCUAAGGUCCCAAAAUAUAUGUUAAGUGGAAAAGGAUGUGGCGUUGCCCAGACAACUAGGAUGUUGGCUUAGAAGCAGCCAUCAUUUAAAGAGUGCGUAAUAGCUCACUAGUCGAGUGACACUGCGCCGAAAAUGUACCGGGGCUAAACA
rnacentral:rRNA from 1 species